rnacentral:lncRNA from 1 species
GGGACCCUGCGCGGGGCGGGGCGAGCGGGAGGGAGGCGGCCCCUGAGCCGGUGGCCGGCCGGGCUGGGACCCUGGGCGGGACCGCCGCGGGGACAGCGCUGGGUGAGACCGGCAUCCGUCCCCGGGGCGCGGGGGUGACCGCCAGGAGGUGUCUCGCAGGCCACAGGCAGGGCCGGCCCGGGCCGUGCGUCUCUGGUGGUAGUAAGAUCCAGAGCUUUGCGGAGCUUCCCACGUCCAGGAGCACAUCUAACUUAUCGAACGCUCCCGGCAGCCCUAUGGAACAGACAGGACGAUCAUCCUCCCAUAAUACACAUGAGGAAACCAGACACAGAGAGGUUUAGGAGCUUGCCUGAGGUCACACAGCCAGUAAGUGACAGAGCUGGGGUGAGAACACAGAUGAUGUGGCAACACUACCCUCUUAGCACGGUGCCCUAUAGCUACUCCGGCUUCUUGGCCAGAUGUGGCUGACGGACAAGGAGAAGUUAUUGAGAUGAAAAGGAGAGGAAGGGAGUUCCAGCAGAGGGAACUGCAUGAACAGAAGCCCUGAGGCAUGAGGAGAUGUUCUCCGCGUGGCAGUGAACGUGGCCCCUUCAACUCCCUGUGCUGGUGUCAAGUCCCAGCUCGGAAACCAUUGGCCCAGCUGGGGGCAGAUGCCCGCCCAGACCAUCAUACUGUGGCUGGAGACAGGGUCGUGCACAAGCAUGGCUCGUCCCUGGGAACCAUAUGGAUGGAGCUGGGUUUCAGUGAAGAAUUGGCAUCCAGAACACUGAGCUGCCCUCGCCUCCCAGACCGCGAGCCUGAGUCGGCCGCUGCCCUGCACCGUGGUCCCCCAGCUCCCGAAACUGUGCUGGAGCCCAUCAGGGACUGCAGAGAGCGUCCGUCUGCACCUCCUCCAUUGAACUCUGGACUGGGCCACUGCCCUCCUUGUCUCCUUUCCAAAUCACUUCUGUCAUGGUCCCAGCAGGAAACAGAUGGCACGCGCAAACGAUUUUCUGGAAGGACUUUGGCAAAGGGACUGUUGACAGGCGUGAGAGCGGGGUUAAGAGAGUCGACAAGGGAGGCGGCACCCCAGAAACAGAGACCGACUGUCCAAGGGCCCCGGGGUGGUCAGCAGGCGCCCAAGCCGGACCCCGCUUCACAUAGGAAGUCACAGCCAUUGACGGGCAUUUUCCACCUGCCAUACAAUGUCUUUAGAGAAUGCACAGGCUGCUUCGGGACCGCCAUUCGCAGCUCUUGUGCGCACUGAGGGACCUGAAUGUCAGCUCAGACUUGGUGCGCCGAAGGCUUUUCCAGGGGGAGCGAGUGCCCACCCGGCAUCGCACCCUGGUGUCUCCCCACGGGCUGUGAGGAAUACACGUGACCGUGUGCAUGGAAGUGCCCGGCAGCGUGUUCGGAAGGAGCAGGGGCUGUGCCCGCAUACAGGAAGUGCUUAAUCAAUGUGGAGAGCAAACAAGCAGGUUCUUUGCUGAGGGGAGAGGGAGACAUGAAGGUGAGAAGGAAAAAGAUGGCUCCCGGUGGGAUGAACCAAGGAUGCUGUAUGUUUGGUUGCUGUGACCCAUGGCCACAGACGUGGUGACUUAUUACAGCCCACAGUCAUUCUCGCCCAACUCCGGAGGGCAGACGUCAGCCGUCGGUUUCACGGACCCAAAUCGAGGGCUGGCCAAGGCUGUGCUCUCUCUUGGAGCCACUCGGGGAAUCACGUCCCUGGCCAUCUCCGGCUUCUGCAGCUGCAGUCGUUGGCUCCUGGCCCCGUCCUCCAGCUUCAACAUCAGCGGGUGGCCCCCCUCCCUCCAGGCCCUGGGCUGCGGGCAAAGGAGGGGGCCCUCAGGGCCGCACUGCCCGGCCACCAGCCCUGGGGAACCUGCCGGCUGUUUUCUAACAAUUAGUGGGAGAAAGACCUCAUCCAAGCACACCCAGGGCGGCCGUUUCUCCUGGCAGUACUUUCCGGUUUGGCUCCAAAAGAAAAUAAAAACGUGAUGUUUAGUAAUCCCUUCA